GGGUUGUGAGGUUAAGCGACUAAGCGUACACGGUGGAUGCCCUGGCAGUCAGAGGCGAUGAAGGACGUGCUAAUCUGCGAUAAGCGCCGGUAAGGUGAUAUGAACCGUUAUAACCGGCGAUUUCCGAAUGGGGAAACCCAGUGUGACUCGUCACACUAUCAUUAACUGAAUCCAUAGGUUAAUGAGGCGAACCGGGGGAACUGAAACAUCUAAGUACCCCGAGGAAAAGAAAUCAACCGAGAUUCCCCCAGUAGCGGCGAGCGAACGGGGAGGAGCCCAGAGCCUGAAUCAGCAUGUGUGUUAGUGGAAGCGUCUGGAAAGGCGCGCGAUACAGGGUGACAGCCCCGUACACAAAAGCGCAUAUGCUGUGAGCUCGAUGAGUAGGGCGGGACACGUGGUAUCCUGUCUGAAUAUGGGGGGACCAUCCUCCAAGGCUAAAUACUCCUGACUGACCGAUAGUGAACCAGUACCGUGAGGGAAAGGCGAAAAGAACCCCGGCGAGGGGAGUGAAAAAGAACCUGAAACCGUGUACGUACAAGCAGUGGGAGCCCCACCACUAAGCCAGUGGUGAACUCCACAUACGCAUCCUUUGCUGAGGAUACGGUUAACGGAGCGAAAGCGACGUUCAACCGCAAAAGAAGCAGAGGGGGCUUAGUGGUGGGGUGACUGCGUACCUUUUGUAUAAUGGGUCAGCGACUUAUAUUCUGUAGCAAGGUUAACCGAAUAGGGGAGCCGGAGGGAAACCGAGUCUUAAUUGGGCGUUAAGUUGCAGGGUAUAGACCCGAAACCCGGUGAUCUAGCCAUGGGCAGGUUGAAGGUUGGGUAACACUAACUGGAGGACCGAACCGACUAAUGUUGAAAAAUUAGCGGAUGACCUGUGGCUGGGGGUGAAAGGCCAAUCAAACCGGGAGAUAGCUGGUUCUCCCCGAAAGCUAUUUAGGUAGCGCCUCGUGAAUUCAUCUCCGGGGGUAGAGCACUGUUUCGGCUAGGGGGCCAUCCCGGCUUACCAACCCGAUGCAAACUGCGAAUACCGGAGAAUGUUAUCACGGGAGACACACGGCGGGUGCUAACGUCCGUCGUGAAGAGGGAAACAACC
rnacentral:rRNA from 1 species